AGAGUUUGAUCCUGGCUCAGGAUGAACGCUGGCGGCGUGCUUAACACAUGCAAGUCGAACGAAGCACUUGGAUGGAAUUCUUCGGAAGGAAGCUCAAGUGACUGAGUGGUGGACGGGUGAGUAACGCGUGGGUAACCUGCCUCAUACAGGGGGAUAACAGUUAGAAAUGACUGCUAAUACCGCAUAAGCGCACAGAGCUGCAUGGCUCAGUGUGAAAAACUCCGGUGGUAUAAGAUGGACCCGCGUUGGAUUAGCUGGUUGGUGGGGUAACGGCCCACCAAGGCGACGAUCCAUAGCCGGCCUGAGAGGGUGAACGGCCACAUUGGGACUGAGACACGGCCCAGACUCCUACGGGAGGCAGCAGUGGGGAAUAUUGCACAAUGGGGGAAACCCUGAUGCAGCGACGCCGCGUGAAGGAAGAAGUAUCUCGGUAUGUAAAGCUCUAUCAGCAGGGAAGAAAAUGACGGUACCUGACUAAGAAGCCCCGGCUAACUACGUGCCAGCAGCCGCGGUAAUACGUAGGGGGCAAGCGUUAUCCGGAAUUACUGGGUGUAAAGGGUGCGUAGGUGGUAUGGCAAGUCAGAAGUGAAAACCCAGGGCUUAACUCUGGGACUGCUUUUGAAACUGUCAGACUGGAGUGCAGGAGAGGUAAGCGGAAUUCCUAGUGUAGCGGUGAAAUGCGUAGAUAUUAGGAGGAACAUCAGUGGCGAAGGCGGCUUACUGGACUGAAACUGACACUGAGGCACGAAAGCGUGGGGAGCAAACAGGAUUAGAUACCCUGGUAGUCCACGCCGUAAACGAUGGGUACUAGGUGUAGGAGGAUUGACCCCUUCAGUGCCGCAGUUAACACAAUAAGUAAUCCACCUGGGGAGUACGACCGCAAGGUUGAAACUCAAAGGAAUUGACGGGGGCCCGCACAAGCAGUGGAGUAUGUGGUUUAAUUCGAAGCAACGCGAAGAACCUUACCAGGUCUUGACAUCCGAUGCAUAGUGCAGAGAUGCAUGAAGUCCUUCGGGACAUCGAGACAGGUGGUGCAUGGUUGUCGUCAGCUCGUGUCGUGAGAUGUUGGGUUAAGUCCCGCAACGAGCGCAACCCUUAUUGCCAGUUACUACGCAAGAGGACUCUGGCGAGACUGCCGUUGACAAAACGGAGGAAGGUGGGGAUGACGUCAAAUCAUCAUGCCCUUUAUGACCUGGGCUACACACGUACUACAAUGGCGUUUAACAAAGAGAAGCAAGACCGCGAGGUGGAGCAAAACUCAAAAACAACGUCUCAGUUCAGAUUGCAGGCUGCAACUCGCCUGCAUGAAGUCGGAAUUGCUAGUAAUCGCGGAUCAGCAUGCCGCGGUGAAUAUGUUCCCGGGCCUUGCACUCACCGCCCGUCA
rnacentral:rRNA from 1 species